UACGGGGGGGGCAAGCGUUGUUCGGAAUUACUGGGCGUAAAGGGCGCGUAGGCGGCCUGUUAAGUCGGACGUGAAAUCCCUCGGCUCAACCGGGGAACUGCGUCCGAAACUGGCGGGCUUGAAUUCGGGAGAGGGGUGUGGAAUUCCAGGUGUAGCGGUGAAAUGCGUAGAUAUCAGGAGGAACACCGGUGGCGAAGGCGGCAUCCUGGACCGACAUUGACGCUGAGGCGCGAAAGCCAGGGGAGCAAACGGG
rnacentral:rRNA from 1 species